rnacentral:rRNA from 1 species
UACAGAGGUGGCAAGCGUUGUUCGGAAUUACUGGGCGUAAAGGGCGCGUAGGCGGCCUUCUAAGUCAGACGUGAAAUCCCCCGGCUUAACCUGGGAACUGCGUCUGAUACUCGAGGGCUUGAGUGCGGGAGAGGAGAGUGGAAUUCCCAGUGUAGAGGUGAAAUUCGUAGAUAUUGGGAAGAACACCGGUGGCGAAGGCGGCUACUCUGGACCGUAACUGACGCUGAGGCGCGAAAGCGUGGGGAGCAAACAGG